CGUCUUCUUAAUUCAGGAUCGUUUGGAAAUCCAUGAAAACUUAAACGCCCAUUAUAUUAGGAAGACAACAAUGUUCAUAGAAUUGCUUUAUUUGCGUCUGAAAAAUGACUUUAUCUUUUCUAGUUGUCAUGGUAACUCAAAGCGGAAACAAGAAAGCCGCAUUUCGCUCAUUCGGAUGUGACGUCACUGCCGUACGUGCAAAGAGCCCAUUCUGCUUUUUCUUGCUCUGUGUGUGUGAUGGCAUAGAUACUUUGAAAAAGUAACUUUAAUCGGAUUAUUGAUUACUCCUUGAAAUAGGUAUUGGUGUUCUGUUUAUCUGUGCUACCGUAAAUCCGUCCUACCUUGUAUUUCUUAUAAAUGCGUCCUACUAGUCGUGGAAGUAUCGUUUCAUAUGUUUUAUUUCAUCGAAGAUUAUGGUAAGCUUUAUUUAAUUUAGUUUAUACUGGCUUUAAUUCAGCUGCUGGAUUACUUAAUGUUUUUAGUUUACAUGACAGGCAGCAUGUAAAUAUAUUUAUAAAUGGCUUUAGUUUACCGUCUGCAAUUUCGUUACUACUGUCAUUGUUUGGCAGUUAAUCAGGACAAAAUACGUUGUUUUGUGGGCUAUUUUAUCCCUACAUUUUAAAAUAUUUUAGUUUAAUUACACUCUUUUUUUAUUAUUAUUAAACCUUGCUAAAUAGAUAUUGGCACAGAUACUAUAUGUGGGAUUGAAGCUGUGUAAUAGCGGUGUAUUAUUAGUGUAUAUUAAACAUAUCAGGAGCACAGCAACCUGCGCAGCUCGGUGGACACAUUGUGGCUGCGCUGCAUCUCAUAACAGACACAAUGUAUUAAUGCUCAAAAAAGAGUUGCAGUGAUCUGUAUUUGUCUGCGUUUAAUUUAAUUCCAAUAAAAACGUGUUUCCCCUGCCUAAUACCGUUUUUCUUCUUACAAACACCUUUGUAUUUAAAAUAUAUAUUUUCAACAGGUAGGAUAUUCUAGUAAAAGGUUUAGUCUAUAGCGUUUCAUUUUAAACGGGUAGGAUAUUCAGAUGAAGGAAGUGAUCUUCUUGUGGUUUCGUCGUGUAUAUAAACUGUUCCAGUGCUAUGCUAAGCAUCCUAAGCUUCCGCUUCAGUCCCAUCACUCAAAUAAUGUUAUCAUUUGACAUUAACAACCCGCUAUAGUUUUCUGUUUGUAAACAUGACAGUAGCAGUUUUGGACACGUAGCACUGACAGAUAGACUUAGCUAUCUAUCCGUGCUACGGUAGGAAAAUCUGACGAGGUAGCACUGAUAGUCAGAACA